rnacentral:misc_RNA from 1 species
CCGAGUUGAUUCGAGCUCCGGCUCGACUCUCCCACCCUAUGUGUACCUACCUCUGUUGCUUUGGCGGGCCGCGGUCCUCCGCACCGGCCCCCCCCUUCGGGGGCUGGUCAGCGCCCGCCAGAGGACCACAAAACUCCAGUCAGUGAACGUCGCAGUCUGAAAAACAAGUUAAUAAACUA